AGAGUUUGAUCCUGGCUCAGAAUGAACGCUGGCGGCAGGCCUAACACAUGCAAGUCGAACGCACCCUUCGGGGUGAGUGGCGGACGGGUGAGUAACACGUGGGAACGUACCUUUUGCUAGGGAAUAGCCUCGGGAAACUGAGAGUAAUACCCUAUGUGCCCUUCGGGGGAAAGAUUUAUCGGCAAAAGAUCGGCCCGCGUUGGAUUAGGUAGUUGGUGGGGUAAUGGCCUACCAAGCCGACGAUCCAUAGCUGGUUUGAGAGGAUGACCAGCCACACUGGGACUGAGACACGGCCCAGACUCCUACGGGAGGCAGCAGUGGGGAAUCUUAGACAAUGGGCGCAAGCCUGAUCUAGCCAUGCCGCGUGAGCGAUGAAGGCCUUAGGGUUGUAAAGCACUUUCGCUGGGGAAGAUAAUGACUGUACCCAGUAAAGAAGCCCCGGCUAACUCCGUGCCAGCAGCCGCGGUAAUACGGAGGGGGCUAGCGUUAUUCGGAAUUACAGGGCGUAAAGGGCGCGUAGGCGGCCUGUUAAGUCUGGAGUGAAAGUCCUGGCUUUAAGUUGGGAAUUGCUUUGGAUACUGAUGGGCUUGAGUGCAGGAGAGGUAAGUGGAAUUCCCAGUGUAGCGGUGAAAUGCGUAGAGAUUGGGAGGAACACCAGUGGCGAAGGCGACUUACUGGACUGUAACUGACGCUGAGGCGCGAAAGUGUGGGGAGCAAACAGGAUUAGAUACCCUGGUAGUCCACACUGUAAACGAUGAAUGCUAGGUGUAGGGGGAAUCGACCCCUUCUGUGCCGCAGUUAACACAAUAAGCAUUCCGCCUGGGGAGUACGGCCGCAAGGUUGAAACCCAAAGGAAUUGACGGGGGCCCGCACAAGCAGCGGAGCAUGUGGUUUAAUUCGAUGCAACGCGAAGAACCUUACCUGGAUUUGACAUCCCCGGCAAUGCCGUAUGAAAGUAUGGCGGAGGUUACCCGGGUGACAGGUGCUGCAUGGCUGUUGUCAGUUCGUGCCGUGAGGUGUUUGGUUAAGUCCACCAACGAACGCAACCCCUUUGCGAUGUUGCCAUCAUUCAGUUGGGAACUCGUCGCAUACUGCUCGUUUACGCGAGAGGAAGGUGGGGAUGACGUCAAGUCAGUAUGGCCCUUACAUCCAGGGCUGCACACGUGCUACAAUGGCAUAUACAGAGCGAUGCGAUAGCGCAAGCUGGAGCGAACCGCACAGAGUAUGCCUCAGUUCAGAUUGGGGUCUGCAACCCGACCCCAUGAAGUCGGAUUUGCUAGUAACGGCGUAUCAGCUACGACGCCGUGAAUGCGAAACCCGGGCCUUGCACACACCGCCCGUCA
rnacentral:rRNA from 1 species